rnacentral:misc_RNA from 1 species
GAUGAAGAACGCAGCGAAAUGCGAUAAGUAAUGUGAAUUGCAGAAUUCAGUGAAUCAUCGAAUCUUUGAACGCACAUUGCGCCCCUUGGUAUUCCGAGGGGCAUGCCUGUUCGAGCGUCAUUAUAACCCUCAAGCUCAGCUUGGUGUUGGGGCCUGCUGCACUGGCAGCCCUUAAAAUCAGUGGCGGCGCCAUCUGGCUCUAAGCGUAGUAAUUCUUCUCGCUAUGGAGUCCUGGUGGAUGCUUGCCAUCAACCCCCAAUUUUUCUAUGGUUGACCUCGGAUCAGGUAGGGAUACCCGCUGAACUUAAGCAUAUAAUAAGCGGAGGA